AGUGAACGCUGGCGGUAGGCCUAACACAUGCAAGUCGAACGGCAGCACAGUAAGAUCUUGCUCUUACGGGUGGCGAGUGGCGGACGGGUGAGGAAUACAUCGUAAUCUACUUUUUCGUGGGGGAUAACGUAGGGAAACUUACGCUAAUACCGCAUACGACCUACGGUUGAAAGCAGUGGAUCUUCUGACCUUGCGCGAUUGAAUUAGCCGAUGUCGGAUUAGCUAGUUGGCGGGGUAAAGGCCCACCAAGGCGGCGAUCCGUAGCUGGUCUGAGAGGAUGGUCAGCCACACUGGAACUGAGACACGGUCCAGACUCCUACGGGAGGCAGCAGUGGGGAAUAUUGGACAAUGGGCGGAAGCCUGAUCCAGCCAUACCGAGUGGGUGAGGAAGGCCUUCGGGUGGUAAAGCCCUUUUGUUGGGAAAGAAAAGCAGCAGGUUAAUAACCCGCUGUUAUGACGGUACCCAAAGAAUAAGCAACGGCUAACUUAGUG
rnacentral:rRNA from 1 species